rnacentral:rRNA from 1 species
UAACACAUGCAAGUCGAGCGCGAAAGCACUUCGGUGUGAGUAGAGCGGCGGACGGGUGAGUAACGCGUAGGAAUCUACCUAGUAGUGGGGGACAACUCGGGGAAACUCGAGCUAAUACCGCAUAAGCCCUACGGGGGAAAGCGGGGGACCUUCGGGCCUCGUGCUAUUAGAUGAGCCUGCGUUGGAUUAGCUAGUUGGUGGGGUAAAGGCCUACCAAGGCGACGAUCCAUAGCUGGUCUGAGAGGAUGAUCAGCCACACCGGGACUGAGACACGGCCCGGACUCCUACGGGAGGCAGCAGUGGGGAAUAUUGCACAAUGGGCGCAAGCCUGAUGCAGCCAUGCCGCGUGUGUGAAGAAGGCCUUCGGGUUGUAAAGCACUUUCAGUCAGGAGGAAAGGUUAGUAGUUAAUACCUGCUAGCUGUGACGUUACUGACAGAAGAAGCACCGGCUAACUCCGUGCCAGCAGCCGCGGUAAUACGGAGGGUGCGAGCGUUAAUCGGAAUUACUGGGCGUAAAGCGUACGCAGGCGGUUUGUUAAGCGAGAUGUGAAAGCCCCGGGCUCAACCUGGGAACUGCAUUUCGAACUGGCAAACUAGAGUGUGAUAGAGGGUGGUAGAAUUUCAGGUGUAGCGGUGAAAUGCGUAGAGAU